AGGGAAUCUUCCACAAUGGACGCAAGUCUGAUGGAACAACGCCGCGUGAGUGAAGAAGGUCUUCGGAUCGUAAAGCUCUGUUGUUGGUGAAGAAGGAUAGAGGCAGUAACUGGUCUUUAUUUGACGGUAAUCAACCAGAAAGUCACGGCUAACUACGUGCCAGCAGCCGCGGUAAUACGUAGGUGGCAAGCGUUGUCCGGAUUUAUUGGGCGUAAAGCGAGCGCAGGCGGAAUGAUAAGUCUGAUGUGAAAGCCCACGGCUCAACCGUGGAACUGCAUCGGAAACUGUCAUUCUUGAGUGCAGAAGAGGAGAGUGGAACUCCAUGUGUAGCGGUGGAAUGCGUAGAUAUAUGGAAGAACACCAGUGGCGAAGGCGGCUCUCUGGUCUGCAACUGACGCUGAGGCUCGAAAGCAUGGGUAGCGAACAGGAUUAGAUACCCUGGUAGUCCAUGCCGUAAACGAUGAGCGCUAGGUGUUGGGGACUUUCCGGUCCUCAGUGCCGCAGCAAACGCAUUAAGCGCUCCGCCU
rnacentral:rRNA from 1 species